UCUCCUCGACCGGUAAUUCGCGAAACGGUAAAACCAUCCCUGUGAUCUGUUCACCGAACGCCGAAAUCGUUUAUUAGAUAGUUUCGAUAGAUUCGGCGAAUAGUUAUUCCGUUAUUAUGAAAUUUGAUCACGCGCAACUGUAUUAUCUGGCGCCGCAACGUAAACAUAAACAUAGCCGCGACGUAACGUAAUACGUAUGUAUAACGUAUAUACAUGUAUGUACAGUCGGCGGUGUUGUUUUAGACGCGGGUCAUUUUGUACACCGUGCUCGUUGGAACAGGACCUGUUCAUUUUGUACGCGAAACGUUCGUUUACACGCACGAAACGUUAUUUCACGAAUCCGGAAAAUGGAAGCGUUACAGAAAACGCCCUCCGAGGAUACGGAGGAAAUGAACGACACAUCAAUAGAGACCUCUGAUUCAGACGCCGGCGAAAGGGCGGACAAUGAAUUAGAAUAUACAACCAGCAGCGAGGACGAUUCGGACAGUGAACAGGGCUCCUACGAAAGUGGAAUAGAGUGCGAUGCUAGCAGUCGGAAGGACGGAAAAUGCAAAUGUCACCAAUGUCUCCUCGAUGCCAUCGACAACGACGAGGAAACCGACGAAGAAUCAGAAUCCAUAGACAUGCGCACUUUGAAACAAAUAAAUACAUGGUCCACUCUCGCAGGAUUACCGCUGCACAAUAUUUUCAGGGUCAUUUACGGCGGCAAAGACGAAGACGUACCAAUGCAUUACUACGAAUGGUGAGGCUGUUCUUCGAACUAUGUAGAAAAUCCUAGCAUAGCAGACAACGAUAGCAACGCAUGGAAUUAAGAAAGCAACGACGAACAGAAACUCCUUGGGGCUUCUACCAUGGACGUCCGGAAGUAUCGAGCAGGAUCCAAUGGCGGUGUCCAAGCCGAAACGGCCCCAGCUUUCGAACCAGGUAACAACGAGGACACCGAACGCUACCAACCAGAUACCAACCACCAUCGGCGCUAUAUAUUUUUGUUUGUACAAUCUGAAAGCAGAAGAGAACGUCGCAGUGUCGUUUUUCAAUCAAUUGCGCGAUCGUCUAAUUUUUUUUCAAACGAAAUUUUUGACGUUUCAACAAAAUAAAUUUAAUUUAUUAGACCUUUUGCCGAUAUGGUAAAAAUCGAUCGUUCAAGUACUCAUGCGUGUACGAAAAUUCUGCUCUAUCUAUUCAACGAUUUUAUCUAGAACGUAAAUAAUACGAUAUUUGACUUUAAAUACGAACAAUAAUUUUCCUUUCCGUUUGAACAAUUGGACGAUUUACGCGACACGAAGGUUUGGUCAACGUUUUAUACAGAUGUGCAAUUAAUGUUAAAAAUAAAUGACCUAUGCAUUAUCGUUACAUACAGGGUGUCCC